AAGGGUAUAGCUCAGUGGUAGAGUGAAUGCUUAGCAUGCACAAGGUCCUGGGUCAAUCCCCUGUACCUCCA
rnacentral:tRNA from 1 species